rnacentral:lncRNA from 10 species
CAGAGUCUUCCUUGCAAUGCGAGCUUCUUGCAUCAUGACUUCUAGAUUCCAAGUAUGCAAAGGAUUUCAAUUUGGAAAAUGGCAUGGAAAUAAUCCAGCUUGAACAUCGUCCUCCUCACCUCCUGGACUAGGGCGAGGGCCCCUUAUAUUUCUUCAUGGCAAUUGUGUCACAGUUGAAACGCUCGUACCCUGACUCCAUCUGGGAUUUGGAAUGCACUCAGGGAAGUGGCUGUGCAUGGAGACUAGAAAUGGAAGAGGCUUCCAAGGUCAUGCCUUUCAGGCUCCCUUCAAAUUCUACAGCUACUGUGAAGAGAGUUGCAUUCCCACAGAGAACAUGUCAGACUGGAGGAAAAUUGUGACAAAAGGUCUCCCCAAAGGUCUCUGAAACUUCGAUCUUAUCUCAUUCCACAAGGCAAAGGCCAGUUUCCUAAAUCAAAGAAUGAAACAAAGUACAUCUUUUUCAAGCAUUGUUUUGACAUCACUCCCUUUUAUACAACUGGACAGGCACUCCCAUUCUCUUUAAAUAAUUUUUAAACACUCCUGAACUUUGGCUUGGAGAUCCUCAUUUGAAAUGAUUUUAUCACUCUAGACAUACUAGCUCAUAUUUUUUAACUUCAACCUGGCAAAAGUUAAUAUCCCUCAUAAAACUCUAUCGAGGAAAGGAGGUUUGCCUGAAAAGGAGCCAGAGUGGUUCCGCCCAGACUGACGUGCUUCUGGCAGCCGGUGUGUACUGCUUGGUGACUGCUCUUUCAUUUCAGGUGGUGAUUUACCAAAUGCCGCUUUUUUUCUGUAUGACACAGGCGUGGCCAAACAUAGUCACCACUCAGAAUGUUGGGGAAGUUUCUCGUCCCCAUCAAACAGAGGGAGCAACCCUUGGUGGUUCAACAAUGAAGCCUCCAUUAGCUGAGAAGUCUAACUGUGAUUUAUCAUUCCCUACCUAUAAAGAUUGUAAACAAAU